UACGAAGGGGGCUAGCGUUGCUCGGAAUCACUGGGCGUAAAGGGUGCGUAGGCGGGUCUUUAAGUCAGGGGUGAAAGCCCAGGGCUCAACCCUGGAAUUGCCUUCGAUACUGAAGAUCUCGAGACCGGAAGAGGUAAGUGGAACUGCGAGUGUAGAGGUGAAAUUCGUAGAUAUUCGCAAGAACACCAGUGGCGAAGGCGGCUUACUGGUCCGGUUCUGACGCUGAGGCGCGAAAGCGUGGGGAGCAAACAGG
rnacentral:rRNA from 1 species